rnacentral:rRNA from 1 species
GGGUUGUGAGGUUAAGCGACUAAGCGUACACGGUGGAUGCCCUGGCAGUCAGAGGCGAUGAAGGACGUGCUAAUCUGCGAUAAGCGUCGGUGAGGUGAUAUGAACCGUUAUAACCGGCGAUUUCCGAAUGGGGAAACCCAGUGUGUUUCGACACACUAUCAUUAACUGAAUCCAUAGGUUAAUGAGGCGAACCGGGGGAACUGAAACAUCUAAGUACCCCGAGGAAAAGAAAUCAACCGAGAUUCCCCCAGUAGCGGCGAGCGAACGGGGAGGAGCCCAGAGCCUGAAUCAGUGUGUGUGUUAGUGGAAGCGUCUGGAAAGGCGCGCGAUACAGGGUGACAGCCCCGUACACAAAAAUGCACAUACUGUGAGCUCGAUGAGUAGGGCGGGACACGUGGUAUCCUGUCUGAAUAUGGGGGGACCAUCCUCCAAGGCUAAAUACUCCUGACUGACCGAUAGUGAACCAGUACCGUGAGGGAAAGGCGAAAAGAACCCCGGCGAGGGGAGUGAAAAAGAACCUGAAACCGUGUACGUACAAGCAGUGGGAGCCUCUUAAUGGGGUGACUGCGUACCUUUUGUAUAAUGGGUCAGCGACUUAUAUUCUGUAGCAAGGUUAACCGAAUAGGGGAGCCGAAGGGAAACCGAGUCUUAACUGGGCGUUAAGUUGCAGGGUAUAGACCCGAAACCCGGUGAUCUAGCCAUGGGCAGGUUGAAGGUUGGGUAACACUAACUGGAGGACCGAACCGACUAAUGUUGAAAAAUUAGCGGAUGACUUGUGGCUGGGGGUGAAAGGCCAAUCAAACCGGGAGAUAGCUGGUUCUCCCCGAAAGCUAUUUAGGUAGCGCCUCGUGAAUUCAUCUCCGGGGGUAGAGCACUGUUUCGGCAAGGGGGUCAUCCCGACUUACCAACCCGAUGCAAACUGCGAAUACCGGAGAAUGUUAUCACGGGAGACACACGGCGGGUGCUAACGUCCGUCGUGAAGAGGGAAACAACCCAGACCGCCAGCUAAGGUCCCAAAGUCAUGGUUAAGUGGGAAACGAUGUGGGAAGGCCCAGACAGCCAGGAUGUUGGCUUAGAAGCAGCCAUCAUUUAAAGAAAGCGUAAUAGCUCACUGGUCGAGUCGGCCUGCGCGGAAGAUGUAACGGGGCUAAACCAUGCACCGAAGCUGCGGCAGCGACGCUUAUGCGUUGUUGGGUAGGGGAGCGUUCUGUAAGCCUGUGAAGGUGGCCUGUGAGGGUUGCUGGAGGUAUCAGAAGUGCGAAUGCUGACAUAAGUAACGAUAAAGCGGGUGAAAAGCCCGCUCGCCGGAAGACCAAGGGUUCCUGUCCAACGUUAAUCGGGGCAGGGUGAGUCGACCCCUAAGGCGAGGCCGAAAGGCGUAGUCGAUGGGAAACAGGUUAAUAUUCCUGUACUUGGUGUUACUGCGAAGGGGGGACGGAGAAGGCUAUGUUGGCCGGGCGACGGUUGUCCCGGUUUAAGCGUGUAGGCUGGUUUUCCAGGCAAAUCCGGAAAAUCAAGGCUGAGGCGUGAUGACGAGGCACUACGGUGCUGAAGCGACAAAUGCCCUGCUUCCAGGAAAAGCCUCUAAGCAUCAGGUAACAUCAAAUCGUACCCCAAACCGACACAGGUGGUCAGGUAGAGAAUACCAAGGCGCUUGAGAGAACUCGGGUGAAGGAACUAGGCAAAAUGGUGCCGUAACUUCGGGAGAAGGCACGCUGAUAUGUAGGUGAAGCGACUUGCUCGUGGAGCUGAAAUCAGUCGAAGAUACCAGCUGGCUGCAACUGUUUAUUAAAAACACAGCACUGUGCAAACACGAAAGUGGACGUAUACGGUGUGACGCCUGCCCGGUGCCGGAAGGUUAAUUGAUGGGGUUAGCGGCAACGCGAAGCUCUUGAUCGAAGCCCCGGUAAACGGCGGCCGUAACUAUAACGGUCCUAAGGUAGCGAAAUUCCUUGUCGGGUAAGUUCCGACCUGCACGAAUGGCGUAAUGAUGGCCAGGCUGUCUCCACCCGAGACUCAGUGAAAUUGAACUCGCUGUGAAGAUGCAGUGUACCCGCGGCAAGACGGAAAGACCCCGUGAACCUUUACUAUAGCUUGACACUGAACAUUGAGCCUUGAUGUGUAGGAUAGGUGGGAGGCUUUGAAGUGUGGACGCCAGUCUGCAUGGAGCCGACCUUGAAAUACCACCCUUUAAUGUUUGAUGUUCUAACGUUGGCCCGUAAUCCGGGUUGCGGACAGUGUCUGGUGGGUAGUUUGACUGGGGCGGUCUCCUCCUAAAGAGUAACGGAGGAGCACGAAGGUUGGCUAAUCCUGGUCGGACAUCAGGAGGUUAGUGCAAUGGCAUAAGCCAGCUUGACUGCGAGCGUGACGGCGCGAGCAGGUGCGAAAGCAGGUCAUAGUGAUCCGGUGGUUCUGAAUGGAAGGGCCAUCGCUCAACGGAUAAAAGGUACUCCGGGGAUAACAGGCUGAUACCGCCCAAGAGUUCAUAUCGACGGCGGUGUUUGGCACCUCGAUGUCGGCUCAUCACAUCCUGGGGCUGAAGUAGGUCCCAAGGGUAUGGCUGUUCGCCAUUUAAAGUGGUACGCGAGCUGGGUUUAGAACGUCGUGAGACAGUUCGGUCCCUAUCUGCCGUGGGCGCUGGAGAACUGAGGGGGGCUGCUCCUAGUACGAGAGGACCGGAGUGGACGCAUCACUGGUGUUCGGGUUGUCAUGCCAAUGGCACUGCCCGGUAGCUAAAUGCGGAAGAGAUAAGUGCUGAAAGCAUCUAAGCACGAAACUUGCCCCGAGAUGAGUUCUCCCUGAGACUUAGAGUCUCCUGAAGGAACGUUGAAGACGACGACGUUGAUAGGCCGGGUGUGUAAGCGCAGCGAUGCGUUGAGCUAACCGGUACUAAUGAACCGUGAGGCUUAACCUUACAACGCCGAAG